UGAGGAAUAUUGGUCAAUGGACGCGAGUCUGAACCAGCCAAGUAGCGUGAAGGAUGACUGCCCUAUGGGUUGUAAACUUCUUUUAUAUGGGAAUAAAGUGGUCCACGUGUGGAUUUUUGUAUGUACCAUAUGAAUAAGGAUCGGCUAACUCCGUGCCAGCAGCCGCGGUAAUACGGAGGAUCCGAGCGUUAUCCGGAUUUAUUGGGUUUAAAGGGAGCGUAGGCGGAUUGUUAAGUCAGUUGUGAAAGUUUGCGGCUCAACCGUAAAAUUGCAGUUGAUACUGGAUAUCUUGAGUGCAGUUGAGGCAGGCGGAAUUCGUGGUGUAGCGGUGAAAUGCUUAGAUAUCACGAAGAACUCCGAUUGCGAAGGCAGCUUGCUGGACUGUAACUGACGCUGAUGCUCGAAAGUGUGGGUAUCAAACAGGAUUAGAUACCCUGGUAGUCCACACAGUAAACGAUGAAUACUCGCUGUUUGCGAUAUACAGUAAGCGGCCAAGCGAAAGCGUUAAGUAUUCCACCUGAGGAGUACGCCGGCAACGGUGAAACUCAAAGGAAUUGACGGGGGCCCGCACAAGCGGAGGAACAUGUGGUUUAAUUCGAUGAUACGCGAGGAACCUUACCCGGGCUUGAAUUGCAACUGAAUGAUGUGGAGACAUGUCAGCCGCAAGGCAGUUGUGAAGGUGCUGCAUGGUUGUCGUCAGCUCGUGCCGUGAGGUGUCGGCUUAAGUGCCAUAACGAGCGCAACCCUUAUCUUCAGUUACUAACAGGUCAUGCUGAGGACUCUGGAGAGACUGCCGUCGUAAGAUGUGAGGAAGGUGGGGAUGACGUCAAAUCAGCACGGCCCUUACGUCCGGGGCUACACACGUGUUACAAUGGGGGGUACAGAAGGCCGCUACCUGGUGACAGGAUGCCAAUCCCAAAAACCUCUCUCAGUUCGGAUCGAAGUCUGCAACCCGACUUCGUGAAGCUGGAUUCGCUAGUAAUCGCGCAUCAGCCAUGGCGCGGUGAAUACGUUCCC
rnacentral:rRNA from 1 species